UGCGAUUUUCAAACUCGCAUGACUGUUACUAUUCCUUUUCUCCUACAUGGGUAGUCAGAAACUACCUGGUCUGCUGCUUAGAAUGGGAGCAGUCCCCGUUUAUUACAGCUGAUGUGGGGAAAAAGUUAUAGGGCCCCCAAAAAUGAGCAUACGGCUUCCUAACGUUCAGGGUGAACAGCCUGCCAGGAACCUGAGUAACAAUCUGCGGAGGAAAAAGCCAACCAAGGAGUGUGAUGACCCAUCUGGUAUUGCAAUCAGGAUUCUAGAAGAGCCACGGGGUGCGUGCAAGAGAGUGAAUCAUUCUUUAUUCAUCGAGUCAUUCAUUCAUGCAUGCCAUAAUCUGAUCUCGCAAAGCUGAAAUGUGGAUGUGAAAAAGAGUCAUUCACCUCUUCAUUUGCCUACCCACCAACCAUUUAUUGAUGCCUGCUUGUGCCAGGCAUUAUGCUAAGUACUGAAGAUACAGAAUUGAAGGAUGCAUGGUCCUCAAGGAGACUCAUAGAAAAAAUAGGCUUGCAAACAAAUAAUUAUAUUUCAAGGUAUCAACUGCCAUAAUACAAGUAAAGUAUAUGAGGUACUGGGGUGGCAUACUUCGCUUUGUGGAAAAGGAUUGUUAUAGGAGAAUUAGCAGGACCUGUAACUCGGAGAGAAUGGUGGCGUGUGGGAAUCUGGGAGACCAGGGUAGGGAGAAGCAGGGAGGAUGAGCAGAUAAGAGGUUAUGUCAGGGGUGAAGAAUGAGUGAGAUUGAGAAAGUAGGAGCACAGGGAGACAGGGACAAAGAGGAAUUUCAAGAUGCAGGAAUUUGGUGUGGGAAUACUGCUCAGUGACAUGACUUUGUAGUUGUGGUAAUAGCUAGUGGGUAGAGGAGGUGGUGAGGCCAAGGACUGUUAGGGAGGGUGUGACAGAAGUGUCCCUCAUUACUAGAAUGUUCUAUGUGUGAGGGAAAAUAGUGUGGCUGUGAAAUAAGCCAAUCAUCUGAUGGCAAAUAUCCUUUUCGGUCUCUUUCAAAGAUACGAUACAGUUUGUAUGGAAUCACAAUCCAAUCAAGAUACGUCUGCGUGGACUAGUUCCAAGGUUGAAAUGUUAAAAGCAGUUUAUUAUUCCUCAGAGUGAUCGUUAUAUUGCAUAUUGUGAUUAUAGGCAAUAAAUUUAAUUUUUUUAGCAGUCUGAAUAUAACUAAUUAAAAUGAUACCAAAACAAUGUUGCUAAAAGGCUAAAUGAGGGUUGCUCUGAACAACUCUGCAAAAUAAUCUAUAUCACUCCCAUGUCCUUUUCCGGAUUAAUGCAACCAAUCCUAGUCCAGGCACCCUUCCAGGGGUGGCAUGAUGACCAGCAGUGCCGUGUCGUUCAUUCUGAAAAUGCAUUUUGUAUUAUUUCCUGCAAGACCAAAGAGUCUGGUAUUUCUCAAUUAUUUAAUGUACUGGCACACAACUAGCUUUCCUCAAAGUGGUAAUGCACAGCAAUGUAAGCAUUUCAGAGGCUGACUUCAAGUGUAUGAGGAUUCUCUUCAGGGCUUUUUGGGAUUAUUACCAAGUUCUUUCUUGGCUUAGAGUCUGGGCUCUGGAGCCAGGCUGCUCGCGUUUGAAUCCUGACUCUUCCACUUACCAGCUGCAUGACCUUGGGCAAGGCAAUUAUUAGCAUCUCUGUAUCUCAGUUCUCUUCUGUAAAAUAAGGAUCAAAGUGGCACUACCCACUGAGCCUUAAAUGAAUUAAUAUCUGUAUGGUACUUGGAGCAGCGUCUGGCAUUUGAUAAGUACUCAAUUGAUGUUUGUUUUCAUGAUCAUAUCAUUCUCAUCAGGCUGGAAACACUUUUUCAAAAACCACUUGUAUGUGAAUUAGCUUCUACCCAAAUCACCAAUCUAAUAUUUUAUUAAGACUAUCCUACAUUACCACUGAAUGAGGCAGGUGGGUGUACCAUUACUGCAUCUACCCUCAGCAAUUGCCAUUGCUUUGGAACUGGCAAAACAUUCCUUUUAUAUAAUCAUCCCUUUCAAUGUACAUUUUGCAAAAAUAGAGCAAAUCUUUGUUUGAUAUAAAUAUUUUUCAAAAUACUAAUUCUAUACGUUAUACAAAUAGUGUUCAUGUAAACAAAAUUGGAUUCUGCUAUUUCAAUUCUCGCAUUCUGUUCACUUAUUAAAAUGUAAAUUUUCCCAGAUCAGCCCUAGAUUAGCACUUACAUUUUACUAACAGAGAAGGAAAUAGUUAACAUGAGGUUUAGGAAAAAGGAUGCAGAAUUCCUUAGUGAGAGACUAUUACCUACAGUUAACCAGUAUUUUCUUCAUAAAGAGCAGAAAAACCUCCUGGCAGGUCUUGGGAGAAGCAAGGACUCACCUGAUUGUG